rnacentral:lncRNA from 1 species
UAUUUAUGUUUGGUAAAUCAAAUUAAAAAUAACUUUUAAUAAACACAAGCAACAAGAAUUGCAUUUGGUAAAAUAGCUUUUAAAAUUUAAAAAUACUAUAAUAGACAUAAAUGCAAGCAAUAAAUUUAAAAAUUAGUUAACAUAUGAGGUUAUAUUAGACUUUUAAAUAUUGAAAAAGUACAAGUCAACUUUGGAAAGUUCUAUCUUAGGUGAUUUCAAAAGUAUCCCUAUUUUUUAAAAGCUCCAAACACAAGCACGUGAUCUUUUUUAUUUACCAAACACGAAAUGAGGAGUUUGAACUUUUAAAAAGUACAAACACCUUUUCAAAAAACUUUAUCAAACCAAGCCAUAUCUAAUUAUACUUGAAAAAAAUUAAAUCAUUACAUAUUAAUUAAUUAAUUAGUAUAUCAAUCACAUGUAAAUAGUAAUAUAAAGAUUAAGAUAUAUACUAACCAAGAUCAAUAGCCUCUUACGCUUGCAUGAUUUCACAAACAUCCUGGUGGUAAGGUUAAUUGAGAUAAAGAAAAUUAAAACUAUGUUUUAUGCACAUCACUUUUUUCUAUAUAU